rnacentral:rRNA from 1 species
GAUGAACGCUGGCGGCGUGCCUAACACAUGCAAGUCGAGCGAACAGACGAGGAGCUUGCUUCCCUGACGUACGCGGCGGACGGGGGUGUAAAAUGUGGAUAACACACCCAUAUGACGGGGAUAACCUAGGGAAAACGGUGGCAAUAACGGAAUAUAGUCUGAAGCGCAUGGAGGAAGAGCUUAAGACGGUUUGGCAUCCAAUGUUCGAAGGUUCCGUGAGGGAUUAGCUAGUGGGUCGGGUAACGGCUUACCAAGGCAACGAUUCGUAGCCGACCUGAGAGGGUGAUCGGCCACACUGGAACUGAGACACGGUCCAGACUCCUACGGGAGGCAGCAGUGGGGAAUCUUCCGCAAUGGGCGAAAGCCUGACGGAGCAACGCCGCGUGAGUGAUGAAGGUCUUCGGAUCGUAAAACUCUGUUAGUGGGGAAGAACAAAUGUGUAUGUAACUAUGCACGUCUUGACGUUACCUGAACAGAAAGCCACGGCUAACUACGUG